rnacentral:rRNA from 1 species
UACGUAGGGUGCAAGCGUUGUCCGGAAUUAUUGGGCGUAAAGAGCUCGUAGGCGGUCUGUCGCGUCUGCUGUGAAAACUCAGGGCUUAACCCCGAGCCUGCAGUGGAUACGGGCAGACUAGAGGUAGGUAGGGGAGAAUGGAAUUCCCGGUGUAGCGGUGAAAUGCGCAGAUAUCGGGAGGAACACCGGUGGCGAAGGCGGUUCUCUGGGCCUUACCUGACGCUGAGGAGCGAAAGCGUGGGGAGCGAACAGG